UGCUCCACAACGGGAGAGGCCACAACAGUGAGAGGCCCGUGUACUGCAAAAAAAAACCCCAAAACAAAAACAAAACAAAAAAAAAAUAGGCUUUAUUUUUUAGAACAGUUUUAGGUUCACAGCAAAAUUGAGCACAAAGUAUAGAGUUCCCACAUAAUGCUGACCCCACACAUUUUCACCUCAUUUGGGUAAAUACCAAGGAGCGCUAUUGCUGUACUAUAUGGUGAGAAUAUUUUUUGUUUUGUAAGAAACUGUCAAAGUGUCUUCCAAAGUAUUUGUAUCAACCUUAGUUUUCAAAAGUUUAGUUACGUUAUGUCUUGGCAUGGAUUUCUUCAGGUUUAUCCUAUUGGGGAUUUUCUCAACUUCUUGAAUUUGUAUGUUGUCUCUCACCAAAUUUGCGAAGUUUUCAGCCAGUAUUUCCUGAAGUGCUUUUUCAGCACUGCCCUUUUCUCCUCUUGUUCUGGGACUCUGAUGACACAAAUAUUAGAUCCUUUGUUAUAGUCCCACAGGUUUAUCAAUACUAUUCUUUUUUUUUUUUUAACCUUUUCUCCCUGUUGAUUCAGAUUGGGUAAUUUCUGUUGGUCUAUCUUCAAGUUCAUCGAUUUGUUCUUAGUCCCCUCCAUUCUGCUAUUGAGCCCAUACACGAGUUUUUUAUUUCAACUUUUGUAUUUUUUUUUGUUUAAAAUUUUCCAUUCAGUUUUUCUUUAUGUCUUGUAUUUCUUUACUAAGACCUUCUAUUUCUUUGCUGAGGCUUUCUAUUUUCAUUUAUUUUAAGUGUGUUCCUAAUUGAUUUUAUUGUAGCUGCUUGAAAAUCUUUGUUAGGUGAGUGUUACAUCUCUGUCUUCUUGGUGUUGGCAUCGAUUGACUGUCUUUUUUUCAUUCAGUUUGAGAUCUUCUGGCUCUUGGUAUAACAAGUGAAUUACAGUUGAAACCUGGACAUUUUCAUGUUGUAUGAGACUCUGGGUCUUAGUUCAACCUUCUGUUUUAGUUGGUUUUCUCUGGCACUGCUCUAGCAGGGAAGGGGGAACACUGCCUCCUUAUUGCCAGAUUGAGGUAGAAGUCCAAGAUCUCCACUUGUCCUCUUUUGGCAAAUCUGCUGGGCAGGGGAGGGAGUUUCAGCUCCCACAUGGUCUCUGCUGAACUGCAGUGGGAGUGGUCUCACUACCACUGGGUGAUGGUGAAAGCCCUGAAUCUUCCUGUCCCUCUUCUGACUCCACCCCUGUAGGUAGGGAAGGAGCAUUUCAUUACUGCUGGGUAGGGAUAGAAGUCCAAUCUGGCCACAUGGUCUCCACUGACACCACUGGGAGUGGAAGGGACUCAGUACCAGCUGUCAGGGAUGAAGGUCUCUUCUGCCUACGUGGUUUUCUCAAACACUACCCCAGCAGGGUGGUGGGGUGCUUCCUUACACCCUGGUGGGGGUGGAAUUCUACAUACGCAUUGGAUUUUGCUAAUAUAGGUGGGGUUGGGGCCACAGUGUGUGUGUGUGUGUGUGUGUGUGUGUGUGUGUUAUUCGCUGCAGUAGGGCAGUUAUUAUCUGAAAGCUUUCUGUCUUACUAGACUGUCCCUUUUCUGAUCCUUUGGUUACAAAGAAUAGGCCUUUGAGAGGACUUUGUCUGCAACUGUUGAUGUUUGCCCAUAUCCAGCUCCUUCAGCUCUAAGUCUGGGUUAUCUGAGGUAAAAGAAAACCCCGGGGGUCACCACUGUCAGUUCAGGUCUCAGGUCCCUCGCUGCUCUGCCUUCUCUCCACCUUCAGUCUUUUUAUGUUUGCUAUAUAAACCAGGUUUUUAGUUGUACUUAGUGGAAAGAAUAGGAAGAAGUAUGUUUACUUCAUCUUCUUGGAAGUAGAAGUCCCCUGAUUAAUUUUUAGACCUAUCCAAAUUAAGUGUUUUAAGGAAGACUGGAUUUGGAAAGUUGUAACUUUCAAGGUUUAUUUCAGCAAUGUGCUAAUGACUGAUGUAAAAGUCAAAUUGAGUUAGUGCUCUGAGAAUCUUGAUUGUCCCUGAAAAAGAGAAAUGAUAAAGAAUUCAGUGUGAAAUCAGGUCUAGAUCAGUGGGGCUUCAGUGACAACUGUUGUUGAGCCAACCUUCAAAGGAUGCUUUCAUAAGCUUACGUCUUAACACCAGAAUUUAGAUCAGAAUUCUCAAGUAUCCUGAUUUAGAUGUAUUUUUGAUCUAAUAUUCUGUUUGAUUGGCAAGCAUGUUUAAACCCAUAUCUUAUCUUUCACUUUGUUUCUCAAAUGAGAAAGCAUCCAUUUAAGUAGAUAGAAGAAGUGUCUUCCUCGGGUAAACACAAAGGAGCUUAUCUCUGGUUUUAGUGCUUGUGACCACCAGGCAGGGCUCACUGGCCAGUGAGUGGAAAAGCCUGCUUCCAGUCUGUGCUGCCCUGAAAGUAGGUCUGAGGACUUCAGAAACUUGGCCCAGGCUGCACUUGACCGGAGUGGCCAGAUCGGAGGGGAACCCCAUUUGCAAUGGCAGGACUGGGCUUUCGGGGGGGACCACACAGCUUUUCGUUUAAUUCUGAGGUAUUUAUUUAUUUUCCUUCCAGUUUUGUUGACAUACGACAUUAUUUAAGUUUAAGGGAUACAGUACAAUGACUUGACAUACAUAUGUAUUGUGAGAUGAUUACCACAAUAAGUAUACAUCCAUUACCUCAUAUAGUUACCAAAAAAAUGUUUUCCCUUAUGAUAAGAAUUUUUAGGAUUCACUUCCUUAGCAACUUUCAAAUAUACCGCCCCGCAUUGUAAACUACAGUCAUCAUGUUGCACGUUACAUCCUUAGUGCUUGUUAUCUUAUAAAUGGAAGUUUGUACCUUAUGACCACCUUCACUCACUUCCCCCCUCCGCACCCUCUGCCUCUGGGAACCACAGUUCUGAUCUCUUUUCCUAUGAAUUUGGUUUUUUUUAGAUUCCACAUAUAAGUGAGAUCAUAAAGUAUUUGUCUUUUUCUGACUUAUUUCAUUUAGCAUACUGCCCUCUUAGGUCCAUCCAUAAUGUUGCAAAUGGCAGGAUUUCCUUCUUUAUUAUGACAAUAAUGUUCCACUAUAUAUUGAUAAUAUAUGUGUGAAUCUAUAUGUAUAUGAAUCUUACAUGUAUAUGAAUAUAUAUAGGUGUGUGUGUGUGUGUGUGUGUGUGUGUGUGUAGUGAUGUUGGGGGUGGGAGAAGGGGGAUACAUGACAGGGCCAGUGGAUUCACUGGGUCCUUUCAGCCAGGAAUUGGCAGAGGUCAGGAAACACUCUGGCCACAGACGAUUCUAGAUUUAAACAUACAAUACAUAUAUAAUUUUUUUUCACUUGCUUUGGUAAUAAUGUAUGAUGCUAAGGUCAGCAGUAUAUAACUACUAAUCAAGGGAAUGUAAGGAUUCUCUUGGGAAAUGUUGAGGUAUAAUAUAUACCUUGAAACUUAUUUUCCAGAUAUUAAAUCAUGAUUUAUAAGACAUUUGAAGUUUAGUAUUUUUAAUGACCUAGCUUUCUUUUAAAAAUCUACUUUCGGGACUUCUCUGGCGGGGCAGUGGUUAAGAAUCUGCCUACCAAUGCAGGGGACAUGGGUUCGAGCCCUGGUCUGGGAAGAUCCCACUUGCCUUGAGCAACUAAGCCCGUGCGCCACAACUACUGAGCCUGUGCUCUAGAGCCCGCAAGCCACAACUACUGAGCCCACGUGCCACAACUACUGAAGCCCGCACGCCUAGAGCCCAUGCUCCGCAACAAGAGAAGCCACUGCAGUGAGAAGCAACGAGGAGUAGCGCCUGCUCGCCACAACCAGAGAAAGCCCGCGGCAGCAACGAAGACCCAACACAGCCAAAAAUUAAAUAAGUAAAUAAAUAAAUCUACUUUCAUUAAAUAGUUUCCUUUUAUUUAAUCUUUUUUUUAAAAAUAUUUAUUUAUUUGGUUGUACCAGGUGGGCUCCUUAGUGGCAUGCAAACUCUUAGUUGCGGCAUGCAUAUUGGAUCUAGUUCCCUGACCAGGGAUAGAACCUGGGCCCCCUGCAUUGGGAGCACGGAGUCUUAGCUGCUGCACCACCAGGGAAGUCCCUCCUUUCCUUUAAUCUUUUACUAUUUUUUCUUUUAAUGAGGAGGCAUGGUCAGUGCUUUAUUUAAAAUAAAAUUAAGCAAAUAUUUGUCUUUAUGGCUUUGAAAUAACACAUAAUGGAGCAAAGGCUUAGGAACUGCUUGUAGCCCUGGGUUGGGAUGUGGACAUUUUUAUAUUUGGGAUCAGGACAGAAAACACUAAAAACACAUAGUUCUCUGAAACUAGGGCCUAAUAAACUGGUCUUCAUGGAUACUAAGGAUUAUAUAAUCACCUAAGUAAUCGCUCAUUUUGAUUCUGAGUAGCUGCUUCAAGUUAAAAACUGAAAGGUUUCUUUGUAAUUAUAACUCGUACUAAGGCUACUUGCCAAAGUGUUUUAAAAUCCUGGUACUCAAAGCACUUUAAAAACUGAAGAGAAGUGGCUUAAUAUGUGAUGGCUGAUACUAUUCUUACCUUUCAUAGUUAGCAUUUAACCUAAGCUUUCAGUGUUUCACGGUGUCAUGAAGAACAAACCACACUACCUUGUCAGCACGCACUACCUUGUCAACACGGCUUGAAUAAAUGUAGCCUUUUAGUAUCAGAGAGAAGUCAGUAUUCCAGUAAACAUUCAUCCUGUACUUGGCAUUGUGUGUAAUGUGUCCCUCUGCAUUCUGAUCAAGCUCCAGGUUCCAUGCUUAACGUAUCAUAAAUUUGUUCUAAGUAUUUGACUCACUUAUGUCCAGGUCAGAAACCACUGACUUUAAUUCCAGAACCUUCUGUCAGAGCCGUAUUUUCUUUCCCCUUUUUGAGGAAUCAGUUCAACAUAUUCAUUUUUGUUUGGGUUAGAACAAAAACAUUUCAAGGCGGUCAUCAAACAAGCAUGCAGUUGAAGGCGCUGUUAACUCUGUCAAGUGUAUGAGCACUUAUUAGUGAGCAUGAAUUUUUCUGUCCCACAGGAUAUUCUGUUUUACUACAUAGACUUGACUGGUUUUUUUUAAGUUUAAUUUUUUUAAUGAGGUAAAUUUACAUACAAUAAAAAUCAUUCUUUUUGGUGUAACCCAAGGUUACGACGUUCCCUGAGCUUUGACAAACUCAUACAGCUGUGUAACCACCUCCAUAAUCAAGAUAGAGAAUAUUUCCAUGCCUCUCAAAAUAAUCCCUGUGCCCCUCAGCCCCUACCCACCCUCCACACUCAGCUCAGAACAACUGAUCUGUUCUCUCCCCUGUCCUUCCCUUUUCUGAAAUAUCAUCUAAACAGAAUCAUGCAAUAUGGAGCCUUUUGAGUUUGGCUUCUUUCACUUAGUGUAAUGCUUUUGAAAUUCCUCCAGAUGGUUGCCUGUAUCAGUAGUUUGUUGCUAUUUAUUGCUGAGUAGUGUUCGAUUGUACGCAUGUACCACAAUCUGAAAGUAUAUGUUUAACUUUAUUUAAAAAAAAACUGCCAGUUUUCCAAAGAAGCAGUACUAUUUUGCAUUUCCACUAGCAAUGUUUGACUAUUCCAGUUACUCUGUAUCUUUGUCAGUACUUAGCAUUGUCAAUUUUUAAAUUUUAGCCAUUCUGGUGGGCAUCUAGUGGUAUCUUGUGGUUUUAAUUUCUAUUUCACUAACAACUGAUAGUGCUGAGAUUCUUUUUAUGGACUUAUGUGCCAUUCACCUUUUGGCAAAUUGUCUGUUCAAAUAGUUGCCAAUUUAAAAAAUAUUAGAUUAUUUGAUUUCUCAUUAUUGAGUUUGAAAGUUUUUUAUAUAUUCUGGAUACAAGUACUUUGUUGAAUAUGUGUUUUGCAAAUACUUUAUCCCAGUCUUUUAUGUGUCUUUUCAUUUUCUAAGCAAUGUCUCUGAUUUUCCAAUUUUUUUGUAGUUAAACACACUUUACAUAAAAUUUACCAUCUUAACCAUUUUUUAUUUUUUUAAUUAAUUUAUUUGUUUGUUUAUUUAUUUGGCUGCAUCGGGUCUUCGUUGUAGCACGGGCUUCUCUCUAGUUGCGGUGCGUGGGCUAAUCUCUAGUUGCGGCACAAGGUCUUCUCUCUAGUUGUGGCUCUCGGGCUUGUCUCUAGUUGUGGUGUGUGGGUUUUCUCUCUCUAGUUGUGGCGUGCGGAGUCCAGGGCGCGUGGGCUCUGUGGUUGGCGGCAGGCGCACUCUCUCGUUGAGGCGCCCGAACUCAGUAGUUGUGGCUCGCGGGCUUAGUUGCCCCACGGCAUGUGGGAUCUUAGUUCCCCGACCAGGGAUCGAACCUGGUCCCCUGCAUUGAGAGGCGGAUUCUUUACCACUGGACCACCAGGGAAGUCUCAUUAACCAUUUUAAAGGGUACAAUUCAAUGAUAUUAAGUAUAUUCAUGUUGUUGUACAAAUAUCACCACCAUCCAUCUCCAGAACUCUUUUCAUCUUACAAAACUGAAACUCUGUACCCACUAAACAAUAACUCCCCAUUCCCCCUCUCCCCAGCCCCUGGCAACCACCCUUCCACUUUCUGUCUCUGAUUUUGACUACCCUAGCUACCUCAUAUAAGUGGAAUCAUACAGUAUUUGUCUUUUCAUGACUGACUUAUUUCAGUUAGUAUAAAGUCCUCAAGGUUGAUCCACUUGCAGCAUGGCAGAAUUUCAUUCCUUUUUAAGGUUGCAUUGAGAGAGAGAGAGAGAUAUAGAUGUAUUAUAUAUCUUUUUAUAUAUGUGAUAUAUAAAAUAUUCCAGAUUUUGUGUAUUUAUUCAUCUGUCAGUGGACAUUUGGGUUGCUUCCAUGUUGUAGCCAUUGUGAAUAACGCUGCUGUGAACGUGGGUGUGAAAUUACCUGUUUCAGUCCCUGCUCUCAGUACUUUGGGGUAUAUACCCAGGAGUGGAAUUGUUGUGGAAUCACAUGGUAAUUGUAUAUUUCAAUUUUUGAGGAACCACCAUUCCUGCUGUUCCACAACAGCUGUACCAUUUUACAUUCCCACCAAGUACACAAGGGUGUCAGUUUCUCCACAUCCUCACCAAUACUUGUUAUUUCUGUCUUUUUGGUAAUAGCUAUCCUAAUGUGUGUGAGGUGUUGAUGAUGUCAUUUGAAGAGCAGAAAUUGAAGUUUAUUUGUCUGCAUGUGAAUGUCCAAUUGUUUCCACGUCAGUUAUUGAAAAGACCAUCCUUUCUCUGUUGUAUUGCCUUUGAACCUUUAUCAGAAAUCAAAUGACUGUAUAUGUGUGGGUCUAUUUCUGGACUCUAUUCUCUCCUUAAAUUUUGAUCAGCAUCCUAUUAAUGUGAAGCAGUGUUAAGCUUAAUAUAUUACCAGCCCUCCCUCAGAAGUAAAUUUUUGGUCAUGAUUUAACCAGAAGAGGAGACCAAGACAUUUUAUAAUCUGGCCGGGCAGAUUUACUCUGCAUUUUGCAAUGAAGGGUGUUCUGAAAGACAAAACCUAUGACCUUCUCCACUCUUUUGGGAACUUACCCAAACAGAUUUUGUACAGUAUCUUUUUCCAGGUUUAAAAUUGGGGCGGAGAAUUUCUUCUAAUCUUGAGUAUCCUUCUGCAGAAAGUUAAUACAAAAGUACAAGAUAAGAUAAACAAGCAUUUGAGUUUAAAAUAUAGUCUCCCAUAGUUAUACGAUAGUAUAAAAAUAAUGACUAUCUUGAUGGAGUCCAAGCGAACAAAAGAAUAUAAUGUCACCAAAACAGAAAUAAAUGUGCUGAAGCCCCAGCUCUGCAGAGAGGGCCUGGGCUCCAGAGGGCGUGGGAGACACCUUUCAGGCUGUCCACAGAUAACUGCCCCAAAAAAAGGAAGGGCUUCUGUUACCUAAACAAAAGAGAAGAGCCUGGCAAUCACAAGGGUAGCUUGAGUUCUUUUACUACCAGGUAAAUAAACCAGGUGAAACUUCUCUGAGAACGAAAUCUUCAUCCAGGUAGUAUGACUUAGUUUGUAUAGAAACCACAGUCUAUUUGCCACUAAUUUUAAGACAUUGCUUAGAAAAUGAUGUCGAGAUGAUCAGCCUCUCAGAGGUGGAAGACUGGGCCAAUGGCUAAUGUUCUUUUCUAUCUUCCUGUCUCUUGUUUGGCCACUCAUUCCAGCUCUUCCUCCCUGAAGCUGCUGGAUGUAAAUUGCCAAAGCACAGCUGUGAUUAUUGCUGCUGCCGGCUCAAAGCUGUUUCUCGGUGCUUCCGCAUUGGCUUUAAGAUAAAAACAUGGUGUUUCACAGCCUGUAGCCCUUCACGGGCUGACCCUAGACCACCUCUGCAUCCUCCUGUCCAGGGAUCCCCUUCCACGCGGUGAUGAUCCACUGGCUGAGCCCAAAGAUGCUGUGCAUUGUCACCCCUCUGUGCAUACGCUGAUUUCUCUUAACAGAUGCCUUUUCCUUUAUGUGCCGGGUGGAUUCUUAGUCAUCCCCUCAGACCCAUCUCGAGCGUCGCCUUCUCUUGAUACCUUCCUGCACUGUCUGAGCAAGAUGCAGUAAACAGAGUGGUCAUGUUCAAGGGCACAGGCUUGGGUUUGAAUUCCAGCUCCAUCACUUUUGAGUUGUGUGAACUUUGACAAGUUACUUCAUCUCUCUGAGCCUUGAUUUCAUAGUGGUACAUACCUAAUAGGGUGAUUAUGAGGAUUAAAUAAUAUAAUAUAUAUGUGUGUAUAUAUAGUGCGUAUCAAAGUACAUAAGUAUUUAAUAAGCAUUUCUUAUUAUUAUGUCUGGUUCAUUUAGUCAGUAAACAUUUAUCGAGCACCCACUGUGUGUUGUUCACCUGUACCAGAUACUUGGGAUGCAGAGAAGAGUGAGCCCUGGCCGUGUAGCGGAGGUUCUGAAGCACCAUGCUUUAAGAAGAAGACAUUUAAAGUGCCAUGGAAGUUGCCAUUUAUUUUAUGAUGACUAUAUGCCAAGUACUUUACAUGUGUAUCUCAUUUGAUCCUCCAACAGCCUUAAGACGAGGGUAUUCAGGAAGAUAUCCAAAACACUUGGUCACUGAGCUUUCCAGAGGGAGUUGGAGUGGUCCUCAGUCGUAGCUCAGGCUGUGCCAGGUAUGCAAGCUGGAGCCAGGUCACACCCCAGUCCUAUUAUGUUUCUCUCAGGUGACCUUCCAAAGGGUGUCAUGAGUGCUUGGUCUAGAGCCAAGUUAGCUUUGUGUAGAGUGCUGGCAACAAAAGUCCACGUUGGUUUAAAAUGUUCUAUUUACAACUGUGUGGUCAAAUAGCCUGGGUGUCAUCAAAGGAAUGGUUUGCUUGAUUUGCCAAUUGUGCCCUGUUAUCGUGGGAAUUUAUUUUGGGGAUAAAGGAACUGAAAUGUUGAGCCAAGUCCUUUCUAUUAAGCAAAGGAAAAUCAUAUUGGAAGGAGAACAAAGAAAUGUGUGAAAUGCAAAAUCAAGAGGAGUCAUCUUAAAACAAAUCACCUGAACAAGUGUUUGAAGACCCCUGGCAUCCCUGGCGCACAGAGGCCCUCACUAAGUCUUUGAACUGGUGGGAUUUCCAUUUGGGUGGAACUCUGGUUCCCCCUUGGUCUAGGCUGCUUCCAGCACCAUUUUUUUAAAAAAUAUUUAUUUAUGUAUUUAUUUGGCUGCAUCAGGUCUUAGUUGCAGCAUAUGGGACCUUUUACUUGCAGCAUGUGGGAUUUAGUUCCCUGAUCAGGGAUGGAACCCAGGCCCCUUGCAUUGGAAGGGCGGAGUCGUAGCCACUGGACCACCAGGGAAGUCCCAGCUCCAUUUUUUUAGUGCAGGAAUUUUUAACCUGGAGUCCACAGAUCCCUAAGUGGCUCAUGAGUAGAAUUCAGGGAGUCCAUCAACUUGGUUAGGAAAAAAUAUUACAUCUUAAUUUUCAUUGACCUCUAACUAAAAUUUAGCAUUUUUCUCAGUUAUGAAGUAACUGGCAACAAACCAGUAUAAUAUUAACAGUGCCUGUAACUUUAUCAUCAUGUCCAAAAUAGAUUGGCCUGUGAUUUUCUUCUCUUUAAAUGUCCUUGACGUUUUGGUGUCAAGGUUAUGCUGGCCUCAAAAAGCAAAUUGGAGACUUUUAUUCUCUGGAAGAAUUGGUGUAAGGUUGGGCUUCCCUGGUGGCGCAGUUGUUAAGAAUCCACCUGCCAAUGCAGGGGACACGAGUUCGAGCCCUGGUCCAGGAAGAACCCACAUGCCAUGGAGCAACUAAGCCUGUGCGCCACAGCUACUGAGCCUGCACUCUAGAGCCUGCGACCCACAACUACUGAAGCCCGUGUGCCUAGAGCCCAUGCUCUGCAACAAGAGAAGCCACUGCAAUGAGAAGCCCACGCACCGCAACGAAGAGUAGCCCCCGCUCACUGCAACUAGAGAAAGCCCGCGUGCAACAACGAAGACCAAAUGCAGCCAAAAAUAAAUAAAUAAAUAAAAUAAUUCUAAAAAAGAAGAAUUUGUGUAAGGUUGGUGUUAUUUAAUGUUAUUAAAUGUUAUUAAAUGUUUAGUAGAUUACAUUGGUGAAGCCCUUCAAGGUCUGAAGUUUCUUUCUGGGAAUCUUUUAAAAUAUAGAUUUAAUUUAUUUAAUAUAUACAGGACUAUUUGGAUAUUCUAUUUCUUCUCAUAUAAGUUUUGGCAAGUUUCCUUUUCCUAGGAAUUUGUCCAUUCCUGCUGUUUUCAAAAUACUGAGUGAAAGUUGUUCAGAAUGUCCUCUUGCCCUUUUAACAUCUAUAGAAUCUGUAACGCUGUCCUCUUUUUCAUCCUUUAUAUUAGGUAAAAUUUUAAAACAUUAACACAACUCCGGGUUCUUAAGCGUUUAGGGAAAUGACAACCGUUGAUAGGCAUUUAAAUUAGUACAGCCUUGGUGACUUCCAUGGUGGUCCAGUGGCUAAUAAGACUUCGCCUUCCAAUGCAGGGGAUGCGGGUUCAAUCUCUGGUGGGGAGCUAAGAUCCCACAUGCCUCGCAGCCAAAAAAACCCAAAACAUAGAAGAGAAGCAAUAUUGUAACAAAUUCAAUAAAGACUUUAAAAAUGGUCCACAUUAAAAAAAAAAUCUUUUAAAAAUAAAUAAAUUCGGGGCUUCCCUGGUGGCGCAGUGGUUGAGAGUCCGCCUGCUGAUGCAGGGGACAUGGGUUUGUGCCCCGGUCUGGGAAGAUCCCACAUGCCGCGGAGCGGCUAGGCCCGUGAGCCAUGGCCGCUGAGCCUGCGCGUCCGGAGCCUGUGCUCCGCAACGGGAGAGGCCACAACAGUGAGAGGCCCGCGUACCGCAGAAAAAAAUAAAUAAAAAAUAAAUAAAUUCGUACAGCCUUUCUGGAAGACUGUUUUGUAGUAUAGUAUAUAUCAAAUAUGAAAUGUGAGUAUAUUUUAUCCAACUACCAGUUUUAAAGAAUUUGCCAUAAAUAAAUAAUUUCACAAAUGCAAACAUAAUCAGCACAGUAUUAUCUAUAGCAGCCAAAAAAAAAAAGGGAAACAAAUCAAUAGGAGUCAGGGAAGUAAUCGUACUGUUUACAUUCGCUAGACUACCUUUUUUAGUUACAAAAUAUAGGAUGUUAGUCACAGAAGAGCAUGUACAGUGUAGCAUCUUCUGUGUUAAAUAUAUACUUCUAUAUGUGAAUGGGUACAUAGAAAAUAAUUGGGAAGCAUGGUCACCAAGUUUCUAACAGCAUUAUCUAUGGGUGGUAGGAUGUUGGGUAACAGUUAUUUUCCUUUUGCUCUUCUGUAUUGUUUCAAAUGUUUGCAUGAACAUGCAUCAUUUCUAUAAAAAUAACAAAACUUUCUAAAGAGCUUGGCAGUAACAAGAAGAUGAGAGGGUGGUAGGGGAGGGAAGUGUCAAAGCAUAUUUCUUGACUGAUGGAGAACAGCCAGGGAAGAAAGAGAGCUUGAAGCUACAAUAAAGAAGGGGUAAUCACUGAAAGACAGGAGGGCCUGGACUCAGACACAGAAGUCAGCCCUAAAGGGGCAAGGCAGCAUUUCUUCCCAGAAAGGAGGGAAAGACAGUUGAAAAUGUGGAGAAGUUCUGAGCAUAAGGGAAGGGAAAAUAAUGUUCCUAACACACGGCUGCCAAUUUCUUACUGAAAUCAGAGGUGAGACUAUUUGCAAAGAGUGGGAAAAAAGAGUGGAGCAGGGGUCUUGAGGAAAGUGGCAAGGGUCUCCAAUAGGAUUGACAGGAGGAGAGGGAUUCACUGGGGCGUGGACAGUUGACCUGACCUGGGUGCCUUACGGAAACUUUGGUAAGGGAGCCCGAUGGUAUGGCUGGGCAGUUUUUCUCUAGGAGAAAAGCACAGUUGGUACCAGGUCAGAGGGUGGCUCCGCAGGCUUAGUAGUGCUUCAGAGGAUGAGAGAAUUCAGGAUACUGAUUGACCUUAGAAUCCAGGAUGCUUGGGAGGAAAGUGAAUUAAGAAGAGUACCGAGGACUGGGGAUUUAGUUGGAAUAUGGACAUCCAAGAAGCCAGAGGACAGGUGCUCAUGGUCAGGGUGGGUUUUCAGAGUUUGACAUGUUAUAGGAGACACGAAGGGCUGCUAGGUGGCCAAGGGGGCACAGGAAUGGUCAUAGAAGUUGGGAAGGUCAAAGGGUUGUGACGCUGGUAGGUCCAGUGGGCUUCCUCGUGGAUGGGAGCAUUUCCCAGGAUGGUGACGGGCAUUCCUUUGGAGAAGAUUUUGAGGCAGGUACUAAGAGAUUGCCUUCAAGGGUAGAAAGACUCGUCAGAGAGGGCUUGAUGGAGAGAGCUGGUAGAGUCCUGGUCUGGAGCAGCUGCAGGACAGCAGGGAGUCUCUUGACCUGCUCUCCUAAGACCAGGACCCUGGACUCCAGACUCCAGGAGAGGCCUCCCCUCACAGCUGUGGGGUUUGGCCCUCCGGAAGGCUGGCAGAAGGAAUACUCCAGAAGAGGAGAAGGAAUGCUCUGCAAAAGCUUCUUAGCAAAGGGACAGGGCAUGGGGUGCAGAUGUGUGGGCAAAAAAUACGAGAACGGCGUUCAAAAGAGAAGCAGACUAGCGAGAAGAAGGGCUGAGCUGCAAAGGGGUGAAGAUUUGUUUGCCGGUUUCCCAAAGGAAAUGCUGAACUGUAUGUUUCUUUUUCUUAUCACAAAGCAAUAUCUGCUCACUACAGAGAGAACAGAAACUACAGAUAAGCAAAAAGCAAAAACAAGUAAACAAAAAGAAUCAUAAGAAUGACUCACGAUCCCAGGGUCCUGGAGCUUUUCCCGUUGACAUGUUCUCCCCUCCUGUUCCCACUGGCGCAGAUCCAGGGCAGGGCCACAUUGGCUCUAGAACAAGCUUGUCCUUGGGGUCACAAAUUUCUCUUCCUAGCUGAGCGCCCAGGCCUGCUUCAUUCCACCUCCCAGCCUUCCCAUCCUGCAGAGGCCGCCGCAGCCAUCUUCCCAAAACACCCUUCCCAUUGCCACUUCCCUUUUUAGGUUCCAUCAUAUACUACCUCCCCUCCCUGGCUUUCCAAGGCUUCCGUAACCUGGAACAUGGAACAAUCCUACCUCCCAGACUUGUUUCCAAAGCUUUCCCUUUACUUAGAUGUGCUUUGUUUCCCUCCCAACUCACAUCCCCACCUCCUCACAUCCAGGUCUCUGUGAUGCCCUCCCUGUCAGGAUGGCCACCCCAGUGCCCUGCACCAGCCCAUACUGACUGAUCUUUGCCUUUCCAGGUACUCAUCUGAUCAUUCCUUUUAGGACCUCAUCAGUUCUGUGUCAGUGAACACCUAGGUAUGAUGAGUACACUUAGGUAUACUUAGGAGGAAGCACAGGACUUAGAGCUGGGAGGAACCUAGGCCCCUGUUCUUACUGAGAGAGAGGCCAAGAGACACCCCCAAAGUCAACCAGCAAGCUGUUGAUGGAGCUGAGACUAGAACCCUGAUUCUCAGACCUGAACGCUACUUGUUGAAUUGAAUAUUGCUUUUAACACACGGCUCUUCUCUGAUGCCUGGACAUGAAGUCCCAGAGACCCAAAGCAGUGGUUAUCAGUGUUGAGAAUAUAUCAGAUUGCUAAAAAUCCAGACUUCUGAGCCCAGUGGGGGGAAACCCUGAUUCAGUAUGUCCAGGAUAGGACCUGAGUAUCUGCAUUUAAAAAAAACAGAAAAAACUCUCUGGAUGAUCCUGAUGUAGAGAGCCCUCAGCUCAACAGAACUCUUGUCUUUGGUUUUGCUUUCUUUUUUAAGUUCCCUGAUAUUGUCCCUGUGGACACUGUUAAGCUUUUCUGAAGCUUCGCGUCUCAGGAGCAGGCUUGAGUCACCCCCCAUCCAGAUCCCCAUCCAGCAGCAACAGCACAGUACUGUGGCCUUUGCACCUUCUCGGGCCCAAACUGGCCUGGGCCCAAGCUGCUGUCUUCUUGAUGUGCGUGGCCAUUUGGCCCCAGGAGCCAAGUUAUUUUUCAAAGUCCUUUUAGGCAUACCUUGGCAAAAUAUUAAGUGUAGUGGAAUUCUUGUUGGAAGCACCCCCCUUGCCAGGGUGUUUCUUAGCACCUUCCGAAGCAUGGAUGCCCAAGCUCUGUGGUCUGCCAACUCUCUGUGUCAUAAGGCUUCCACGUAAACCAAGCCCAAACGUGUGCCUGGCCCAGGCUGGCGGGAGGAAGAAACCGUCUGCGUGGUGAUGAGGGCGAGACUCUGGGCACACCGCCUGCCUGGGCUCGUGCCUCAGUUCCACCUUUCCUAGCUGCGUGACCUUUGACAUCCCUUUGCCCCCUGUUUCUUCAUCUAUAAAGUGAGAGUAAAAAUUAUAAAGUUAAUUAUAUUAUAAAAAGUAAAAAGAAUUCCUACCCCACAGGAUGGUGAUGAGGAUAACAAAUUAAUGCAUGAAAAGUCCUUGAAACAGCGUUUGGCACAUAGUAAGUGUUCAGUAAGGGAUUACAAUUAUUAUAAUUAUUACAUGAAAACUGUGAUGAAAUAAUGAGAAUCUAAAGAGAUGACUCACUGCUCUCCAUGGUUAUCUGUCCAGAGUUACCAAUUCCCCCUUGUUGCAUCAGCAUUGAUCAGAGGAAUGACUAAUAAGGUAGUAAUUGCUCUUCAAAAUACUGCCUGGACCCCUGAAGACAAUUAAAAUAUGCUAGGUAUUUCCUAGCAAUAAGGUCAAGCCUUGCAUAAUUUAACAGCUCUACAGCAGUUCAGCAUUUUGGUGCUUUGGUAAGGUGGCAGUUACAUAACAGGCUGCAACCACGCAGAUGAGCAGAGCCAGAGGUGGGGGAGAGGGUGCUUUGAAAAGAUGUGUUAGCACAGGGAUGAUGGGUGUGAUAGAUGAAGGACAUGGCAGCAGCUGUGGGCUUCAUGAAGUUUGGGUCUAGGGGAUGCAUGCAUGCCCCGUGCCAUUUUGGCACAUGUUGGCUUGAAAAACAUCUCCCAAUGUUAAAUAUCAAGCUAAUGCCAAUGGGAGGUAUGAAAGUUUGUCUUAUUUUAGCCAUAUUGCAGGUGUUUUCUCACUCCUUGGUAAUAUCUUAAGUUAAAAAUACCAAUUGCAUCAGUCUCUAAAGUGACACAAAGCUGAAUAAAUCUCUGAAAUCAUGUUUCAUCAAACUUUUAUGUAAAAAACUCAACUUAUAGUAUUGCCAAAGCAUCACCUUCCUGUAUCCCAUUGCCAAGAUACCCUUCCUUGGUGCUUCAGACGUAGUGGUACCAUACUUCAGAUUCCAAGUACAGGAGAGCCCUAGAAGGGUGUUAGAAAGCAGAUUACUGUGGUUUAUUUCUGUUUUGGGAUGAGAGAUGCUAGUCUGUGAGCCCUUAGCAAGUGAUCUCAUGUGCUAGCCACUACAAUACUUUUUAGACUGCCUUGUUUGAGUUCUGCAAUAUUUCUUUAAAAGAAGACUGACAUUUGAAUUGACUGCUUGGUGUUUAUCAGAACGUAAGCCUCAAAACUUCUAGAGACCAGAAAGUCAGUUUGUUUCUGGAACUGUCUUUAGAAAAACAAGGAUCAUCUCAUCUCGUCUGAGGAGCCAGAACAGUUCUUUGGUUGCCCAAACUUUUUGGAGAUAAUGCUUAAACCGGGGUCUUUAGAUUCAUGGAUGGAGAGAGUGCUACGGGGGCUGCUGUCAGCUGAGCCAGGCUGAAAGCUUGCCUCGGUAAGGCUCGCUUGGUAGCCUGCCAUUUGCCUUAGUAAGAAGCAGCUGUGGAAUAAGUCCCUGGAGAUGAAUGAGGCCCAGGAAAGCCUUGUUGGAUGAAAAUCCAUAAUCUUACCUUAAGUCUUUUAAAAUAAAUAAUUUUUUUAAUAUUUACAAAUGAGAGCAAAAUUUAAGAUGAAUAUAUUCUUUUUUAUUGCUGCCUGUCCAAACAUUAUGGGAGGUCAGAGUGCUAGCCUGCUAGCCAGGUGGCAGGCAGUAGCCAGGAGGCCUUAGCCAUCUAUAACUUUCAUUUGUUCACCUAAUACCCAGUUAGUGCAGACCAUGGACCACACUGUGCUGCAGAGGAAGGACGAUGGCUGGAAAGUCUCACUGAGUGCAUAUGUGUGAAGCAUUAUUUUUAAAAAAUAUUUAUUUAUUUACUUGGUUGUGCUAGGUCUUAGUUGCGGCAGGUGGGCCCCUUUAGUUGUGGCUCACCAGCUCCUUAGUUGCAGCACAUGGGCUCCAUAGUUGUGGCAUGUGAACUCUUGGUUGUGGCAUGCAUGUGGGAUCUAGUUCCCUGGCCAGGGAUCAAACCCAGGCCCACUGCAUUGGGAGCAUGGAGUCUUAGCCACUGCACUGCAAGGGAAGUCCCUGAAGCAUUAUUUUGAAUACCAAACUGUUUGACAUUUUUCAUAAUAAAGUUUUUUAAAAGUGAACUAGUAUAUUUGAGAAUAAGAAGGAGAUCUUGGAAAAUAAAAGAUAUAACUAACUUAAACACUUUUUAAGUAUAGUGGAAAGGCUGAAAAACAAAAUCAGGGAGUUUCCAAAAGGCAAGGUGAAAAGAUGAAGAGAUAGAAAAUAGGGGAGAAAUAAUAAAUAAAAAAUUUAAAUGAUACAUCCAGGAGUUUGAAUAUCUGAAUAGGAGUUCCAAGGAGAAAGAACACAGAAAACAGAAGGAAAUUACCAAAGAAAUAAUACAAGAAAAUUUUCAGAACUGAAGGUCAAGGAGCUUUCAGUCUAGAGCCCAGCACAAUGAAUGAAAAAAAUUACCCAUCCCUAGACACACUGUGAUCAACAUUCACAACCCCAGAAACAAUGAAUUGUAACAGCUUUUGGGGGAGAACUAGUCACAAACAAAAGAAGGAAAAUCGGAAUGCUAAUAGAGCUCUUAAUAUCAGCAGUGGAAGCUAGAAGUCAACAGAACAAAGUCAGCAAAAUUCUGAGGGAAAAUUAUUUUCCAUCUAGAAUUCUAUGCUCAGCUAAACUUUCAAUAAAGUUUGAGGAUAGAACAAAGACAUUUUUAAAUCUACAAGGAUUCAAAAUUUUGCUUUCUGUGGAUCCUUUUCUAGGAAACAACCAGAAUAAAUACUCAGCAAAAUGAGGAAAUAAAAACAGAAAGAGAAAUAGAACUCAGAAGGCAGGGAAACAACACAGGAAAACAGCCUGGAGAAGCCCAAUGUGUAUAAAAUAGGCCUGGCUACUUCGGAAUUCACAGAGUGUCUGCUGUACUUAGCCGUUUGGAAAAAUAAUAUUUGUAUAUAUACUGAUAGUUCAGGGAGAGUGUUUGGAAAAACCUGAAUGUAAGUGCCUAGAAAAUGAAGGAAAUGAAACAAAGAGGGAAGUGUUAACUCCAAGGAAAAAAAAUUGUAGAAGGGAAAAAAAAAUUAGUUACCUCCUUGACUUUUCAGUGAACAAUUCUUUAUCAUAAUAAUAUAAGGGAAGGAGAAAUGUGGCAGGUGGUAUAAAAGAGCUUAAAUCUAGGCAAUUAUAACAUGAAGUUAAUGGGUGAAGGGUAAAUAGAUAAACCAAGAAAUGGCAAUAUUAACAUAUUAUUUGGUUUUUUAAAAAAGCUAAAAGCGGGACUUCCCUGGUGGCACAGUGGUUAAGAAUCUGCCUGCCAAUGCAGGGGACAUGGGUUUGAGCCCUGGUCUGGGAAGAUCCCACGUGCCAUGGAGCAACUAAGCCCCUGCACCACAACGACUGAGCCUGCGCCACAACUACUGAAGCCGGCGUGCCUAGAGCCCGUGCUCUGCAACAAGAGAAGCCACCACAAAUGAGAAGCCUGCGCAGCGCAACGGAGAGUAGCCCCCGCUCGCCGCAACUAGAGAAAGCCCACGCGCAGCAACAAAGACCCAACACAGCCAAAAAUAAAUAAAAUAAAUUUAUAUAUUAAAAAAAAAAGCAAAAA